rnacentral:rRNA from 1 species
AAGCAACAGGGGAGGUCACAGACGGUUGGGGGUUCGGGCGUGAGCCCUCACUCAGUAAANNACCCUCCGUAGGGGAACCUGCGGAGGGAUCAUUACUGAGUGAGGGCUUCCGCCCGACCUCCAACCCUCUGUGAACCACACUUGUUGCUUCGGGGGCGACCCUGUCGGCGAACUCGUCGCCGGGCGCCCCCGGAGGUCUUCUAAACACUGCAUCUUUGCGUCGGAGUUCAAAACAAAUCGAACAAAACUUUCAACAACGGAUCUCUUGGUUCUGGCAUCGAUGAAGAACGCAGCGAAAUGCGAUAAGUAAUGUGAAUUGCAGAAUUCAGUGAAUCAUCGAAUCUUUGAACGCACAUUGCGCCCUUUGGUAUUCCGAAGGGCAUGCCUGUUCGAGCGUCAUUUCACCACUCAAGCCUGGCUUGGUAUUGGGCGUCGCGGUGUUUCGCGCGCCUUAAAGUCUUCCGGCUGAGCUGUCCGUCUCCUAGCGUUGUGGAUUCUUCAAUUCGCUUCGGAGUGCGGGCGGCCGCGGCCGUUAAAUCUUUAUUGAAAGGUUGACCUCGGAUCAGGUAGGGAUACCCGCUGAACUUAAGCAUAUCAAUAAGCCGGAGGAAA